GAUUAAGGAAAAAUAAAAUGCCAUAAGAUUUGCUCUUCUUACCAAAAUUCCACCAUUUAUCUUAAAUAAACAAUUCUUGGAUUGUUGUAAGCCUUUAGUUAAUUUCCAGAGUUUUAAAAGAGACAAUUUGACAGUUUUUGCCAGUGUUAUCAUCGCUUUCAUGCAGAAGCUAUUUUGGGAGUUCUUUAUUCUACUGUUCCAAAUAUUAAGCUGUGUUCUUUAAAAAAUAAUUAAAUAGUACAUAUAUAAAAAAAGAGUAUCGUAAAUAAGAUUUCUACCCUUAAGUGCAUUUUUCCCCUAAUCCCAACCAGAAUAUUAAUUAGUAUUAGUGAUUACUGUGUAUUCUUCAUAUAUAUAUACUAGAGAAGCAUCUAUGUGUGUAGAGAUCUAUGUUUCCUUUUGUACAUACAGAAAUUUACUAUAUACUCAUAUUCUGUAUGUUUUUUUUCACUUGGUAAUUUACCUUAGAUAUUGGUCCAUACUAAUCCAUAUUGAAGUUAUCUCAGCCUCUUAUUAUUGUUGUUGUAGUUGUUUGGUAUUCUAUAAUGGAUAGUCCAUUAUUUGCACAUUUUCUAGUAGCAAAUAUUUGAGUUGGUCUAUGCUUUGUUAUUUCAAACAAUAAUGAAGUGAACCUUAUUGCAUUCACAUCUUUUUGACCAUAUAUUACUAUAGGAUAAAUUCCUUAUUUUUUGUUGCUUUUCUCAUAAAUUUAGUUUACAGUUUUACUUUGUAUUAGAGACAUCGCUCCUUUAUUUGGCAACUUGUGAGUUAUUAUUUAUGGCUAGCAAUUCUUCCUGUUCACCUUCUUGCAAUGGAAGUGGGGGUUGUUUUAAGUUACAACCUGGAAAUUGUAGGAAACGGGGAAAGAGAGGAAGUUGAGCUAUAAUAAGUAGAUACGAAAGCAUUCCCUACUCAUGGCUUAAAAUGUUUUGCCCUCAGGUAUUUCUACUGCUGAAAAAAUUAGUUGGGAAAACUAGCUCUUCAAAAAUACAGUAAAACCUGUGAAAAGUGUAGUCCUUGCUUAACACUUAAGAUGAAUUACUAACAUUUUUCAUUCAAAUAGCUUGGGUUUUUAUUGUAUAUGUAUAUUUAGAGGCCAAAGCACAUUCCAAGACAGGGUAAAAGUCUUUGUAAAUUCGAAGGGCAAGGAAUGAAGAAAUGAAGGCUAACAAAAAGAUACUUUUACUUUUAACAGAAAGUAAGUACAUUUCAGGACCAUACUAUUAUGCUGCUAAAUAUUAUUGCCUAGACUGAGGAUAAGUGAAGAUUAUUUUUAUGAUCUGCAAGAUAAAUUUUUUUAAGUUCAAUCUAAAUUUUCCUGCCAGAUAGUGAAAUCCAAUUUAGUGUUUCCCAGUCAGCCUAGUAUCUCUUUCCUUCUUUUUCUAUUGGUAAAAGAAAUAAAAAGAAAUGGAAAACAUAUGUCUCCAUUCCAUUUUUUGAUAGCUAGGGGCCAAAUCGGAGCUGUAGCCACCAGCCUACACCAGAGCCACAGCAACACGGGAUCCAAGCCACGUCUCCAACCUACACCACAGCUCACGGCAACGCCAGAUCGUUAACCCACUGAGCAAGGGCAGGGAUCGAACUCGCAACUUCAUGGUUCCUAGUCGGAUUCGUUAACCACUGCGCCACGACAGGAACUCCAGACUUAAUACUCUCUCCCACCUCUUACCUUCUAUGGUAUUUUAUUUGUACCUCUGCUUUUGUGGUGAUUUUUUUUUACACUGAUAUCCUCAACUCUUUGUUCUUAAAACACCCAGGAGCACCUGAAAGUGGUCUUUUACAUACCAGGUUUUCAAAAUAUUACUGUAUUGAAUUAAGACAGAAGACUUAGUUAUUUUCUUUAAUGUUAGUUUAAUAGAGGAGCUGUGAUGUAUAUGUAAUGCUAACAACAUGGAAUUCUAAAUAAUAAACAUAACUCCAAUUAUGUAAAUGAGAGAUACCUACAUUGGAGUUAAUAAGUUAUUUGUAGCUUUAAGAGCCAGAAAGAGCCAGAUUUUAUUAACAACCUAUGGAAUGUUUUUGGUAGGUUAGCAUUUGUUAUUUCUUCCAAGAUAUAUUUUAAUCAUAAUAUUUAAAUUUGAGUGUGAACCCUAGUGAUACCUAUUUAUUCCCAUAGUCUGUCUGAAGAAGUAAGCAAUACCAGAUCUAAUCUCUAUUUUUGAAGCAAGGAAGAGAGGGAAGAAAGGAAAGAAGAUAGGUAAGUAGGUGAGCAUGGAGGAGAAUUUAAAAUGCUUAUCCUGGUGUUCCCGUCAUGGCACAGUGGAAAUGAAUCCAACUAGGAAUCAUGAGGUUACUGCUUUGAUCCCUGGCUUUGCUCAGUGGGUUAAGGAUCUGGCAUUACCAUGAGCUGUGAUGUUAAGUCCGCAGACGCGGCUCAGAUUUGGUGGUGCUGUGGCUCUGGCAUCAGCUGGCAACUGUAGCUCUGAUUUGACCCCUAGCCUGGGACCCUCCAUAUGCUGUGGGUGUGGCCCUAAAAAGAAAAAUCAAGAUGCCUAUCCUGUAUAAUUUUGUCCCCUCAGAAAAUCUUACAGGGGUGGGGUUAGAAGUAGAAGACCUGGAAGGUCAGGUUCUUAUGAAACCACAAAGCACCACACCUACUUGGAAAACCAGUUUGUGCUGAGCAGGAACAUGCAACUGGGACUGAGCUGGGGUGGAUUCUUUCAAUUUCUUUCAAUUUCUUUCCCUUUGCGUGUUUUCCACCCUAUCAGUCAUUUCAAAGGCACAUGGAUUUAAAUAGUGACAGACACAUUUGAUACUUUACCCUUUAGCCCAGUAGAGUGUGUCUACUUUCCUCACAAUAAUGAGGAAUUUGCAAUAUCACAAGAUCUAAAAACAUUUAUAGGAUAAAAGCCAGGCUUAUAAACCUUGUUUUACUGUAUGCUAUUAUUGUGCUAUGUUAAAUGGAUAUACUCUGUUUUUUCCCUAGAGGAAAUCGUAGUUUGAAUUCUAACUAAUAAGUAUUUAAUUGAAAAGAUGUGUUUGAAAUGGAUUUCAUAGAUAUUUUUCUGGAAUGGGCUAGCACUUAGGAGAAGUUAGACUUUAAUUUCUUCCUCCCAUUUUCCAUAUAUAGUAUGUUAUAUACCUUCUACUUUUCAUAAUAUAUAAUGUGAUCAAAAUUUGGUAUUAUACUAAUAUAAUUUGUUGAAGUGAAUUUGACCUGAUUUGAAUUAAAAGCUCUUUGGAAAUGAAUAUGUUAGGAACUAGAAAUGCUCCUAUAGGUGUUCCUGGAUACUGUACUAGUUCUCUCAUAGACUUUUUGCAUUAUUCCAUCAAAUAGGAAAUAACUGAAACCCCUCAAGCCCAAGUUAUACUUUUUUUUGGGGGGAGGCGGUAAUUUACUGUUUUGGAAUUGAAAAUGCAUUUCUUCCUUUGAAACCCAUGUAGUACAUUGAGCGAGGUUCCUAGGACAGAAUUUCCAGAGAUCUUUUCAUCCUAAAAUGGGAGGCCUUGUCUGAUUUCUGGAUCAUUGUUGACAACUACAUAACUGGAAAUGAGAAGAAGCCCUAGAAAAGAGAAUUCCAGAGGGAUUUCACCUUACAAUAUUGCUGAAUUAAUGAUACUUUGAAAAAAGCACUACGUUGCUAAAGCAGAUCUUAAUAUGUUCCUGUACCAUCAUCAUAAUGAUAUGUAAAAGUUUUUUUCCUAUAACUCUUUCUUAAUCUCAACCUUUUUCCACUCACUUUUUUUUUUUUUUUUUUUGGUCUCAAUUACCUCACUUAUUUCCAUUUUAAUAUAUAGUACUGGUAUUUUUAUAUGCUAUCAAUCGCUUUGUAAUAAAACAGAAAUAAUUUUUAAAAGUAUCACAUUUAAGAUGUAUUACAAACCACUAACAGAGCAAUUGGGAAAGAUGGAAUAGAGCACUAGACUUGGGCUCAGGUUCUAGCACCACAAUUUUCCAAUUCAGGGCCAAAACUUUGGCCUCUCUCAAGAGACUAUUUUUCUCAUAUACUCUAAGAUCUUAAUGCUGAUUAAGUCAUGUUAUAUUUGGGAAAGUAUAUGGCAUAAACUAGAAAGAUAAUUACAUAUUAGUUGAAUCUAUAUCAGGUUUUCAUAGGUUAGGGAAAAUAUAUUGUGGUUUUUCUUCCUUUUUAAAUCUGUUAUUCCUGUGACCGAAUUGUUACAGUUUGGUGCAUUCACUAGGAAUGAGUCUAGGCAUUCUGGAUUUUGAGCAUUUGUGAAAAAUCUAAUGAAUGCCACAUCGGUGCUGUGCCCAGAGAGCUUCCUCUAGAGAAGGCUUAUCCCUUGAACUUCCAUGUUGCAUCAGUGCCAGUAGACAGAACCUAUGACAAGAGGAAGCCUUCUCCAAGCCUCCAAAGCAGCACCCUGAAACAUAUAUUCUUAUAGACUUUGUGCUAUAUAGUAUUGAUUUGUCAUGGUUUUCCUUCAAAAGCCAUUUUAUUCUUAACACAAUUAAACAACAGUGCAAUUGUGAGAAUAUAACUAUACUCCCUGUAUUUCUUGUUACAAAUGGGCCUUUCCCUGAGGUGGGUCUAGGCUCUUUUAUGGAGACCUGUCAUCUUCAUGUUGGCCUUUGUUCUGAGCCAGCUUUUUCUUCAGACUGGAACUUCCUUCAGUCUGUUUCAUAUCCAAGCCAAAAAACUCUGUACCCAUGAACUCUAUUAAUGAAGCUGUAUUAUACUGUGAUUGGAAACCUUUUUGGGAGUUCCCUUGUGGCUCAGCAGAAACUAAUCUGACUAGCAUCCUUCAGAAUGCAGGUUCACUCCUUGGCCCCGCUCAGUGGAUUAAGGAUCCGGCUUUGCUGUGAACUGUGGUGUAGAUCACAGAUGGGGCUCAGAUCCUCCGUUGGUGUGGCUAUGGCGUAGGCCUGCAGCUAUAGCUCCAAUUUGACCCUUAUUCUGGGAACCUCCACAUGCCAUGGGUGUGGCCCUAAAAAGACAAAAAAAAACAAAAAGAGAGAGAGAGAGAUAGAAUUGAAGCAUGCUCGUGUUGGGAGAUGGUGCCGUGCUAAUAAUACUUCCUACAAGUACUGUAUAUGUGAAUAAGGUAUUAUGUUGUGGAACUCAAAUGAAAACUCUGCGGAUUAUGUAAAAACUAUGUUAACAACAUCUUUAAGUUAUUUGUGAAAAGGACAUGGGUGAGAAAAUGAGGAGACCUAGAUCACAGCCCUUAUAUCACUGUUAUGACCUUCAUUUGGCAAGUCACCCUUUUAGAUCUGUUUGCUUGAAAAUGAAGUAACAUCUGGGAAAUUGCUAAGGCUUUUUCCAGUGUAAAUUUCUAUUACUCUUUUUAUUAAAAUUUGAGGUGAUAAAAACUUGGUCAUACUGUACAUAAAUGAUUGUUUUACUCAAGAGUUAUUAAUAGUGUAUAAUUUUACAUUGCAGACUUGUCUUCUAAAAAUAGACAAAAGUAUAAUUGUAUUUUUCCCUAAGUGUUUAUUGCUUUAUAUGCUGUAUUUCUUGAUCAGACUUCUUCAUUUUGAGAAGGAAAAUAUUUUUCUAAGGAGAAUCUCUUAUCCUUUUUAUUUCCUACUAGCUCUUCCCCACCCCCACCACCCAAAGAUAACCUCCUCCUGCAUCCAUACUUGAAAAGUAAGUCUCGGAGUUCCCAUCAUGGCUCAGUGGUUAACGAAUCUGACUAGGAACCAUGAGGUUGCGGGUUCAAUCCCUGGCCUUGCUCAGUGGGUUAGGGAUCUGGUGUUGCAGUGAGCUGUGGAGUAGGUCACGGACGUGGCUCGGAUCCCUGGGUUGCUGUGGCUGUGGUGUAGGCCGAUGGCUACAGCUCCAAUUUGGCCCGUAGCCUGUGAACCUCCAUAUGCCGCGGGAGCGGCCCAAGAAAUGGCAAAAAGACAAAAAGACAAAAAAAAAAAAGUAAGCCUGACAACCACAAAACCAACAAAGUCUGGGACAUUAUUCUCUGCAGUGAAGAUAGACCAAUGCUUGGCAACUGUGUUGUAAAAAUAUAAUUCAGAGGGAGUAAAUUCAUGCAAAACUGUCACAAAUAGUAUGAUUUAUAGCAUAGCACAGUCAAAAGGGAAAUGUCAUUUCUUCACUUUCAUACACACAUGCGUGCAUACACACACGCGGACACACACACACACACACACACACACACUUGCUUUCCACUAUUUUUGCCUCUGUUCUCCUUAAAAAAAACAUUUACAGGAGUUCCCAUCAUGAUUCAGUGGUUAAUGAAUCUGACUAGCAUCCAUGAGUACAAAGGUUCAAUCCCUGGCCUUGCUCAGUGGGUUAAGGAUCUGAUGUUGCCAUGAGCUGUGGUGUGGGUUGUAGACAUGGCUUGGAUCCUGCAUUGCUGUGGCUGUGGCUGGCAGCUACAGCUUCGAUUUAACCCCUAGCCUGUGGACCUCCAUAUGCCACCAGUGCAGCCCUAAAAAG
rnacentral:lncRNA from 1 species